UAAUCAGUGUAGAUGACGUUGACUUGCUCAGAAAUUUGUCGCCCUCUAGUGGCAGCUGAUUUUUGGUUCGAUGGAGCAAGCUGAGUUUGUUUGUUACCGAAUGUUUUGAUUUGUCAAAAAUCGUAUUCUGAGGGAUAUUCAGUUCACAAAAGGGCACAGAGUUUUCACGGAGUUACAUGGAUGGAUACGGAGACGUAAAAUAAAGAUUGACAACUCCCGUAAAA
rnacentral:lncRNA from 1 species